rnacentral:rRNA from 1 species
GAUGAACGCUGGCGGCGUGCCUAAUACAUGCAAGUCGAACGCUUCACUUCGGUGAAGAGUGGCGAACGGGUGAGUAAUACAUAAGUAACCUGGCAUCUACAGGGGGAUAACUGAUGGAAACGUCAGCUAAGACCGCAUAGGUGUAGAGAUCGCAUGAACUCUAUAUGAAAAGUGCUACGGGACUGGUAGAUGAUGGACUUAUGGCGCAUUAGCUUGUUGGUAGGGUAACGGCCUACCAAGGCGACGAUGCGUAGCCGACCUGAGAGGGUGACCGGCCACACUGGGACUGAGACACGCCCAGACUCCUACGGGAGGCAGCAGUAGGGAAUUUUCGGCAAUGGGGGAAACCCUGACCGAGCAACGCCGCGUGAAGGAAGAAGUAAUUCGUUAUGUAAACUUCUGUCAUAGAGGAAGAACGGUGGAUAUAGGGAAUGAUAUCCAAGUGACGGUACUCUAUAAGAAAGCCACGGCUAACUACGUG